GUUAGGGUACAUGAUAAUCUUCUCUCAGAUCAUAGAAAAUUAUCAAUUAAUGUAAAAAUUAAAAUAAAACAGAAUAAUAUAAGAUUCACAUUCAACAUAAAGGAGUUAACAAUGAGAAAUAUAAAACUAAUUUUAUUAGUAAUUUUGAUAAUCAAGAUUAUACAAUAAAUUCAUUUUCAGACUUAAUUAACCUUAUUGAUAAAUCAAAAACUGCUGCUCAGUACACUAAAACGAUUAAAUGCCAUCAAAAUAAUAAUUGGGUUACUCCCGAACUUUUGCAAUUGAUUAAGAUAAGAGAUAAAGCUUAUAUGGCUUACAAAAAGGAUUCUAAUAACAUAAAUCUUAAACAAACCUUUCAAAAACUUAAAAAUUCAGUAAACAACAAGAUUAAAACUUUAAAAAACAUGUAUUUUAAAAAUAAAUGGUUAGAAGCAGGUAAUAAUUCAAUAAAGCAAUGGAAAAUUAUAAACUCAUUUAUAAAAAAUACUCCAAAUAAAGAAGCUAUAUCUAAACUGGAAAUUGAUGGAAAUUUAAUGGAAAUUUAAUUACAGACCGUGUAGAAAUUGCAAAUUCGUUGAAUGUGUAUUUUUCUCAAAUAGGCUUAGAAAUAGUUAAGGAAGUUGAAACGGAAAAAAAUAAUGUCAAUGGAAAUAUUGUGUUUAACGAAAUAGUAAAUAAUCAAAGUCUAUUUUUAAGUCCAACAAAUGAAAAUGAAAUUAAUGAUACGUUGUUGCACCUUAAAAGAAAUGCUUCUCCUGGGCAUGACAAUGUCUCAGUGCAUGAUCUGGUUACUGUUAAAGAGCACAUAAUUUCCAUAUUGGCUAAACUAAUAAAUCAAGUUUUUAUUACUGGUGAAUUUCCUGAAGAGUUGAAAAUUUCCAAAAUUUAUCCAAUUUAUAAGUCGGGGCAAAAAUCUUCAAAAAAUAACUAUAGACCAAUUUCAUUACUUAGCAUAUUUUCAAAAAUAAUAGAAAAACUAAUAAAAAAAAGAAUGCUCUCUUUUAUUGAAAGAUUUGUAAAGUAUGAUUUGUUUCAGUAUGGAUUUCUAGCUAACAGUAGUACACUUAGUGCUACUUUUGACCUAACCGAUUUCAUUUCACAAAAACUAGAUCAAGGAAAUAUGGUAAUUGCGAUUUUUAUCGAUCUUCGGAAGGCAUUUGAUGUUGUUAGUCAUAACAUAUUAAUUAGUAAGCUUGAACAAAUGGGAUUUAGGGGUACUGUGCUUAAUUUAAUUAGAACAUAUCUAGAAAAUAGAAAGCAAUAUGUAUGUGUAGAUACUUGCAAAAGUGAUAUAGCAAUAAACAAUUGUGAAGUGCCCCAGGGCUCGGUUUUGGGGCCGCUGCUGUAUACAUUGUUUGUUCUAAGCUUGCGCCUAGUGGGUUUAAAUGGACAGUAUUAUACUUUCGCAGAUGACAGUGCUUCUUUAUACUGGAAAAACAUCAGAAGAAACCGCAAAUUUGGCCAAUAAUGAUUUAAAAAUUUAUCAUGAGUGGUUGCUACAAAAUAACCUAAAAAUUAAUACAAACAAAACAAAAUAUAUAUUGUUUAAACAAAAAAAUAAAGUAAUAACAGAUAUAUAUAUAAAAAUUAAUAAUGAAAGUUUAGAAAAAGUUGAUAGCAUAAAAUAUUUAGGACUCUUUUUGGAUGAGCAACUAAGUUGGAAUGAACAUAUUAAACACAUUAAUAGCAAAAUAAUAUCAUUGAUCGGAGCACUUAAUAAAUGUAAAUAUUUCUUAACUGACAAUGCUAGGUAUAAAAUUUAUUAUGCGUUCUUUCUUUUAGUGGUCAGAUAUCAAAUACCAGUAUGGGGAACAUGUUUAACACAAAUUUGAUUAAAAUAGAAACUCUGCAAAGAAAAACCUUAAAAAUUUUAUUUAAUAUUGAUUAUUUGACGCCAACAAAGAUCCUUUAUCAAUCCUUAUCUGUUCAACCAAUAGUAUAUUUAUUAAAUUUGGAACAAUGUAAAUUAAUAUAUAAGAUAAUAAAUCUUAAAUAUAAAUCCAAUACAGAAAUAAAGUAUGUUAAUGAAAUUCAUAACCAUAAUUUGAGGAAUUGUUCAAAUAUACGUUUGGACAAUGCUAGAACAGAUAAGGCACUGAAAAGCCCACUGGCUGCAGCUACACAGGUUUAUAACAGAUUACCAUCAGAACUAAAUUUCAGAAUUUAAAAUCAUACAAUUUGUUUGUAAAAAGAUUAAAAUUAUUCCUUGUUAUUUGGGACUAUGUAUAACUAUUUUUAAACAUUUAAAUUGUGUUGGAUAGGGUUUUUUUUUUGUUUUUUUUUUAAGCUUAAGAGAGUAUAUGUUUUGUUAUUUUUAUUUUUGAUUGAAAUUAUGGGCGUCAUCUCCGGUACCAAUACUAUAAGUAUUGCUUAGGAGAUUACCUUAAUUCGGAUUUUAUAUUAUAGUUUACUGUAUAUUGUUACCUAUUAUAACUUGUUAAUUGUUUUGUUGUUUUGAUUUCUGAAUAAAGGAUUUACAGAAAAAAAAAAUUCUAGUAGAUGGUAGGUAUUUUUUUUCUUAAUAAUUAUUAAAAUAAAAGAUUUAUUCAUUUAUAUGACAUUUUUUCGGGAGUGAUUAGAGUAAGAUUUUUUGAAACCCACUUAGGACACCCUGACGAAUUAAGAAGUAAAAGGCCAACAAAAUCGGAACAGGAGAUAAUUGUGGAUAAAUUAGCAGCAGCAGUUUCAAAUAAGAGAAUUACUCAGGAGGCCAGAAGCAUAGAUGGCAAUAAACUACAAAGGAAAAAUUGUAUAACAAGAGGAGAUUUAGAGUACCUAAUACGAAAAUGUAAUAUUGACAAGAAAAGGGACAGUGAUGAUAUGAUAGCCACAGUGUUAAAAAUUCAGGAAUGGAACAGUGAUGGAAAAAAUCAUGGAUUUUUAUUUAAACAGAUAGGACAAACUUAUCCAGGAUUAGAAGAAGAUGAUUUUGCAGUUGGAUAUAUGAAUGCUAUUAUAGAAAAAAAAUUAAGAGAUUUUCCAAAAAUAAUCUGUAUAGAUGGAACUCAUGGAACAAAUAGGAGAAACUGGGACUUGACAAUUGUGUUAAUAAGAGAUGAACAAAAUAUGGGUUUUCCAGUGGCAUUCUUACUAAGUAACAGAUUAGAUCAAUUAAUUCAAGAGGUUUGUUUUAGGGCGCUUAAAACUAGAUUAGGGGAAGCAGUUCAAGCUGAAUAUAUAAUGAGUGAUGACGAUCCAAAAUAUUACAAUGCAUGGAUAAUGGCUAUGGAUGCAGAUUACUUUGUACCUGGCAUAUAGUGAAAAAUUGGAACAUACAAGGAAGGUCUAAAAUCAAGAAGUUGGAAAAUAGACAGAUAAUGAAACAUGAAAUGAGGAAAAUUUUAAAGGAGACUGAUCCACAAAAGUUUAUACAGCUGAAAGAGAACUAUUUUAGGCAAUUAGAAGAAGAGGAGGAAACUAAUUUUCAGAAUUACCUGAAAAAGUACUAUUUCCAAAGUAAGAGAGAAUAAUGAUGUGGGCACAUUGUUAUAGAAUCAAUGCCGGAAUUAAUACAAAUAUGGCAAUUGAAAGCUUAAAUAAAGUUCUGAAGUACAACAAAAUGAAUGGAAAGCAGAAUAUUAGGAUUGAAAAACUGUUGGAUUUACUGGAUGAACUUGUUGAUGAAAGAAUGUGGAAAAGGAUUAUAAACAUGGAAAGGCCAAAUGCAAAUAAUUAUCAGCACAAAACAUGUCAGAGUGCACAUAAAAAAGCAGAAGAAAUGGUGGGUAAUAACGGUAAUGUAUCAUAUUCUGAACUAGGACAUUUUAAGGCAAGGUCGUUUAGUGAUAAUUAUAAAUUGUAUUGUGUAAAUUAUAAUGAGGUUUGUGAUGAGGACUGUAGGGCAAUGUAUUGUGAGAAGUGUAAAUUAUGUAAACAUAAAUUUAAUUGUGAUUGUCCAGAAUAUACUGUUAAAAGUGUCAUGUGUAAGCAUAUACAUGCUGUAGCUUUAUUUGAGCAGAGGAGCGAAUAUGUUUCAGGUUUCAUGGAUGAAAUGCAAGAAGAUAAUAAAUAAUCUGUAUGUCAAUGAACCUUCAACAAGAAAGACAGUUUAUGAGGAUGAAGUAAAUCAUUUUCUUGACGUGACUGAAAAUAGAAUGAAUGUGACAAUUGAUUUUGAAAGAAAGCGUGAGAUUUGUCUAGAACAGUUUUGCUCUGAAAUUCGUAAUUAUGGUGGUGGAUUGGGUGAACAUGAUUUAGAAAAAUGUAUGGGUGAUUUUAGAAAUUUUAUGCAGUAAAACAAAAAGAAAUGGUGAUGAAUAAAAAAAGAAAAAUAGAAAAGCAGCAGUAUUAUCUCAACAAAAAACCUAAAUAAAUUUAUUUAUAAUAAAAUGUUUAUAACUAUUUCAUUACUGAAUGACAUUGCUUUCGUGAGUGACCUAUUCUGGUAUUAUAUCUACGUGGUGUUGGCUAUUUGUAUUCAUGUAAUUCGUUGG
rnacentral:lncRNA from 1 species